AUACGAAAGGUGCAAGCGUUGUUCGGAUUUACUGGGCGUAAAGAGAGUGUAGGUUGUUUAUUAAGUCGGAUGUGAAAUCCCGGGGCUCAACCUCGGAACUGCAUUCGAUACUGGUAGACUAGAGUUCGGGAGGGGUAAGCGGAAUUCCGUGUGUAGCAGUGAAAUGCGUAGAUAUACGGAGGAACACCUGAGGCGAAGGCAGCUUACUGGACCGAUACUGACACUGAGACUCGAAAGCGUGGGUAGCAAACAGGAUUAGAUACCCUAGUAGUCC
rnacentral:rRNA from 1 species